UACAACAUACGUCGACAGGAGAGAUGGCUCAUUGAUUAACCCAUCUGGCUACUUAACCGCAUCCGUACAUGAAGAUGCAAUCUGUUCUUUGUGUUCUUGAGCAGCUUUGGGAGGAGGAGGAAUUAGCAAGGAUGAGCGGCAGUGGCAAUAUGCUUGCGUGAGUGAGAUGCCAUGUGGUUUCAUAAGUGAGCACUAGGCAUGUCUGAUGUAAAAAGGGUGUUGAUUAAAGAGACCAUAGUGCUUUAACAUAAUCUUGACACAAAUUACCUAUCCUGGAAUUUGUCCGUGGUGGUGCUGAGGAAUAAAAUGUCACCACUUGUUCAUUAACACUCACAAAACAUGCUAAUUGUUGGAUGUUACACUGUCUGAGCUUGAUGGUUGGAUCCCAAGUAAAAAAAUUGGGUGCUAGUGGAUAGAGUUCAUCCACGUGUGCGUCAAAACUAAUGGUCAAGUGUAGCACCUUCCAGGAUUCCUUCAACUGUUCCCACGAGCGAGUACAAUGGAACAUUGUCAGGGCUGGUCCAAGUGCUAGAUUCCCUACCUAAAGCAGCCCCCUUUCUGCCUCAAUACACGCGGCAGUGCAGCGGUACGAGGGGACAACGCGCUAGAAUACCGGGGAAGCUCGAAUCCCCAUAGAACGCCAACGACCAGGAUAAAGGCCUACCUGAUGCUCGGCCGUCAUUGGCAUUUUUCAUCUUUCGGGAGCCUUCCUAACGAUUACAUGGAGGCUCACACACUCUCAUCCGCCGCAGCGUGUCGCGUUCUGGAUGCUUCCUUUGAAUUUUAUUUUUUAUUUUUUCGCACGCGUUCUCAGCUUUUUGAUGGUUUAUCUCGAUUUCACAGGUCUUUCUUAGCUUUUUGGAAAACAAAUUGCGUGAAAAAACGUGUUUCUUUUCCAUGAGAGGCACGCCCCGUGCCUCUCGAAAAAAAUAUGUUUUCUCUUUUUCUUUCCUGAGAGGCAUGGAUUUUUCUUCCGCGAGAGCCAUGGCCGUGUCUUCCGGAAACAAAAAAAAUCUUCGUGAGAGGCAUGAUUUUGCUUCCAUGAGAGACAUGGUUUUGCUUAUGCGAGAGACACGGCCGUGCCUUUCGGAAACAAAAAAACCCGUUUUCUCUUUUUUUUUCAUGAGAGGCACGGUUUUGCUUUGGUAAAAGGCAUGGUUUUGUUUCCGCAAGAGACACGACCGUGCCUGUCGGAAACAAAUUGUGUAUCGCGCGAUAGGCACGGUUGUGCCUCUCGAAAACAAAAAAGGUGUUUUCUCUCUCUUUUUUUUCUUCUGUGAGAGACACAAUUUUGCUUCCGCGAGAGGCACGACCGUGUCUCUUGGAAACGGCUUCCGAAAAAGGAAAAAACCAUGCUCUCGGUUCAGUUUCUCGUCCGGUUUUUUUCAUGAAAAAGUCAUCAAAACCUAUCAACAUGGUAUCUAGUUUUGAAGAUCUCGACGUGAGAAAUCCAAUGGUGAAAACGGUUCGAGAUUUGAACGCACAGUUUAAGAGAUAAAACAUUUUGAAUAAACAAAUCUAUGAAGAAAGAAAAAUUUAAGGUUGCGAUAGGUGGCGCACAUGCAGCGCACCACUUGUUACAACAUGAGAAGAGAGGAGUGAUUGGAAGGAGUACUCCUUAAUUAGUGAUUUUAAAGAGAAAUCUCGUGUCUGGGAGCUCCAGAUGGGCAGGCCCAGCCAUGUGGGAUGACACAACCUCCUUUUUCUGAUUUUUUUUCUGCUUUUCAUUUUUUUUCUUAAUUUUUAUUUUUGUUAUACUUUAAAAUAUUAUAAAAAAAUAUUUCAAAACAUUUGUAAAAUGUUGAUGAAACAUUUAGAAAAUAUUAAAUGUUUAUCACAUAUACAAAAAAUGUAUAAAAAUGAUCAUAUUCGAAAAUGUUAAUCAAGCACAUGAAAAAUGUUAAUAAAAAAUUUGAAACAUGUUAAAUAUGUAUAGGAAAAAAUGUUGACCAUGUAUUAAAAAACUACAUUUUUAUGAUGAAUACCAAAAAAAAAA
rnacentral:lncRNA from 1 species